GGUGCCUUGGCGAUAUGGGAACGCAGGCGACUGCAAAUCGUCCAUGGCUAGGUUCGAUUCCAAGAGGCGCCU
rnacentral:tRNA from 1 species